UGGAGGAGGCGUCGAGCUGUAGGCUCAAAGAGGAUCUACAUAAAUUAUUUACGCCUCUCACAAAUGAAGAUGAAACUUUAGUAGACAGCUCAUGUAUGGUAGUGGUCACAGUAAAAAAAAUAUUAGUACUGCAUGAGCCUUCAAAGAUCGAGAUUACCAGAGAGAAAUUAGGGUGCUUGAGGCCUCGUGGUUGGUUAAACGAUGAGAUCAUCAAUUUGUACCUAGAAUUGUUAAAGGAGAGGGCAAAAAGAGAACCCACAAGAUUUUUAAAAUGCCACUUCUUUAACACAUUCUUCUAUAAGAAGCUAUGAAGGCAACAUGGACCUCCAAAUAGGGAAG